CUUGCUCCAAGCGGUGACCGGUCAUGUGACCGAAGGCUAAGCAAGACGUGUACCGGGAAUCGGCCGAAGGCGGGUUUCCG
rnacentral:sRNA from 18 species